UGUCAAAUGAGCAGGGUCAGGGUGAAAGAUGUGAGACGCUGAUGGACUCGCAGCACUCGUGUUCUCAUUUUCCAAACUCCUCUUUUUCAGUAUAGGAUGGCAGAUUGGAUGCCAGUCCCUGGCAGGACACGCUGACAUGCCAACUUAUUCUUCUAUCACAGAACUCCUUCUGAUGAAAUUGGAGCACUCAGAGGGACAGAAGCCGGGUCCGUGGAGCCAUUCAGGCAGCACUGGUAACAAGUGGCCAGUAAAUCAAAGACACGUUUUUGCAUUUAUGGAUGGCGUCGGGCACAUGUAUGGACACUUUGCAGAGAUCUCCACCACAGUCCAUGAUGGCAGACAUGGCUACGCCACCAAAGGCUCCACGAGACACAGAAGACUGACUCAUUUGGGGGAGACCUGAAGCAGGUAUUAAACUGAGAUGUCAAAAUAAGUUCAGCAAAUCAAGUAAGUGCAAAGAGCAAAAUAAAAA